UACGGAGGGGGCUAGCGUUGUUCGGAAUUACUGGGCGUAAAGCGCACGUAGGCGGCUUUGUAAGUUAGAGGUGAAAGCCCAGGGGCUUAACCCUGGAAUUGCCUUUAAGACUGCAUCGCUAGAAUCGUGGAGAGGUAAGUGGAAUUCCGAGUGUAGAGGUGAAAUUCGUAGAUAUUCGGAAGAACACCAGUGGCGAAGGCGACUUACUGGACACGUAUUGACGCUGAGGUGCGAAAGCGUGGGGAGCAAACAGGG
rnacentral:rRNA from 1 species